GCUACACCAGCGCUUUGUUUAGCUCUGGGCAUAGGUAGCCAUGGAGACCCUGAGUGCCACGGUGGAACAAGAAUGUGGCACCCUGGACUAUUACAGCUCCCAGCACAGAAUGCAGUGAUGUUUCUCAACUGUGUGCCUUCAAUCAAGCUGUUGCCCUCGGUUGGAAUGCCCCCUCCACAGUUCCCCAAGUCUGGCUCACUCUGAUGCAUUGGAACUCUGCCAGACCCUCCCCUCGCCAUACCCCAGCCUGCAGGGAGAGCUGAACUUGGUCCACAGGGAGCCAUUUUGAGUCUACUGUUCUUGGUCAAGCCUCACCCCGGUGGCAUUUCCAGCUUCUGUUUUCUCCGUGGGAUUAAUAAGAGGCAGCCGUGCCCGGUCCAGUCGCCGCGAGGUAUUGUGCGCCACCUGGUGGUCGCGUGGCAGACAGCAUUCCUCCAAGUGAGACUCAGCACCAGCAGCUAAAAUGCAGCUAUCUGCACCUCGAACCCAGCCCAUCUUUUAGCCAAUGACAAGCCAAGUGCCCCAGAGUCCUGCAUGGCAGUGGACGCUGACAAGAACUCCAGGAAUUCCAGAUUGCAUGGAGCUUCUCGGCUCAGGUGUGUUUUCGGAAUCAACUGGGGGCAGUUUCCAAGGAGCCGGCUGGCGGUCACUGCCCCUCCUCGCCCAGGUUGCGAACUUCUGUACUAAAGGAUUCCAUGUGACCCCUCUGCUGCAGACUCUGGUCUCAGAGCAAUAGUGAGAGCUGGAGAGAAGGGACGGAGAUGACUCACUGCUUUACUGAGCAGGAAAUUAACACCAAGGGAGCCUAACCUGGCAGCAGCCUGGAAAAAUUAGUUUGCGGUGGUUUGAGCAGUGGGCACAGUGGGUUUAUGUGGGCGAGCUUAUUAAUACUUCCUUUUGCUGACGGCGGGUACAAGCUUGAAAUGGCCAACAGUGCAGCAAAUAGAGAUCAAGUUGCAAAAAUGAGUCUUCAUCUCACUGAAGUUUGAGAAAUUGCAGAGGCUCGUGGAGAGACUCCUGGU